rnacentral:rRNA from 1 species
UACGAGGGGGGCAAGUGUUGUUCGGAAUUACUGGGCGUAAAGCGCGCGUAGGCGGUGAUCUUUGUCAGAGGUGAAAGCCCGGGGCUCAACUCCGGAAUUGCCUUUGAAACGGGAUCGCUUGAGUCCGAGAGAGGAUGGCGGAAUUCCUAGUGUAGAGGUGAAAUUCGUAGAUAUUAGGAAGAACACCGGUGGCGAAGGCGGCCAUCUGGCUCGGUACUGACGCUCAGGCGCGAAAGCGUGGGGAGCAAACAGG